GGGAGAGGGAGAGAGAGGGAGAGAGAGAGAGAGAGAGAGAGAGAGAGAGAGAGAGAGAGAGAAGGGGAGGGACAGAGAGAGAGAGAGGGAGACACAGGAUAUGAAUGAAGCAAGCUCCAGGCUCUGAGCUGUCAGCACAGAGCCCAACGGGGCUCGAACCCAGUAACUGUGAGAUCAUGACCUGAGCCGAAUUCGGAGGCUUAACCGACUGAGCCACCCAGGCACCCCCAAAGUCAGCAUCUUUAAUACACUUCCUAUGAUCCUAUGGUAAUGAAUCUGAAGAAAAUCCUAUCGGUGGCAUUCCCACCACGCCUGAACAAGUCUGGACAAUUCCUUUAAACUCCCAACAGAGCAGUUCGGGACCCAAAAGAUCUUCCUUGAAAAGAGGUGGGAUCCCACGCCCGGUAAACGCUAGAACCCUAACAGCACUACAUCAAAGACCACGCGUUGCACGACCCCGUUUGCACGGAAGGCCCGGAGGAGGGACACGUAAAGAGACAGCAAGGACUGCAGCGGCUGAGAGGGGCUGGGGGCCGCUGCCGAAGGAGGCGCACGGGGUGCGAGGGGGUCCUGUGAGGGGUGUCGGAGUCGGCCUAAAACGGGAUCUGGGGGAGGGCUGCACAACUUUGGACACGUGCUCUCAAGGACAGCGGGGCUGCGCACUUACAGGGGGUGGGUUUUCACGCACGGACACACCCAUCUCUGCGAAAGCAUCCUCGCGGCCGCUCAUGCUCAUCCAGGACCCCGCACCCAGGCUUGCUCUCCCUCGGGUCUGCGACGCUCACGGGAAAUCCCCAGUGCAGAGAGCACGCGGACCUGGGCAGGGCACAAGACCGGCCGGCCUUCGGCAGCUGCUCCGGAAGCCGCUCACGGGACUGUUCAGGGGACUGCUCAGGGGACGCCUCAGGAGUCGCCGCUGGAAGAGGAAACCCAGGGUCCAAGCUGCCUCGCGGGCUCGAAGUAGACGCCCAGAGCGACGGCCCUGGAAGGCGCCACCCCCAACCCAGGGCCUGACUCUCUGCGCAUGCGUCCUGGGGUAGGCCCAAGCCAGGCCGCGGGAGUCCCCCGCAUUCGCCCGUGGCUACGGAGAACAGGCAGUAGAACCACGUACCCGUCUUGUUGUGGUCUUACAGUUGCCGGCCUCCAGGCGCUUCCCCGGCUCGCAGAGGAGGACCAGGUGGGGCCCAGCGAACAGGCAUUUCCCGGUCAGGCCAUGGGUACUGAGUGCGCAGGCGCGCCCUGCCACCCCGGCGCAAGGGCACCUGGGAAGCCCUCGGUGGCGGGAGAACAGCCCUGCGGUAGCGGGAGAACAGCCCUGCGGCGGCGGAGAGACUCUCAGCUGGGACAGUGGGACGUCCGUCGUCGUGCCCGGGGGCCCCAGGUGGUGUGUUUUCAGUCGCCUUACCUUUAUGUCAUGAUCUAAGCACUGCGCUAAUCGAUACAAAGUAAGUUCCGGUUUAAGAAUUUUUACCAUAUCCAUUCUAUUCCGGCGGAAAAGAGAACUGAUUCCAGCAGUUGACUAAAAUCACAGCCCUGUCAGGGCAAGUGCCCACAGUGCCUGGCGCAGAACCGAUGCUGCCUGACUGCUCCCCGAACGGCUGGACGAAGUCCCCCCAAACGGGCAUGCUGUGUCUGGACCCAGUUGCUGGCUCUCCCCUCAAGAUGGUGAAGAUGCUACCAACAGCUCCAGGCGUGGGUGCCGCUUGCCAUUGCAGCAGUGGAGACGGAGUGCCUCUCUCCCAGUAAUUCUACUGAAGUUCCGGGCCCAUCCGUGAGUCAGUCCCUGAGAUGCUGGUUGGGUUGCACAGACCUGAGACCUGUAUCCAUUCCUAGAUCAGAAUUGAUGCCAUUCCCACUCACCGCAAAGGGCUGAGAAUAGGGGUGGCCUGGCCCCUCAAAUGAAAUAGGAAGCUUGAUGACCAAAAUAAAGGGGAGUGCUUGUCGGGCGAGCAAACCAACAGGCACCCGAUUCGAUGA